GACAGCAGCAGCCACGGGAAUACGUAGGUGGCAAGCGUUGUCCGGAAUUAUUGGGCGUAAAGGGCUCGCAGGCGGUUUCUUAAGUCUGAUGUGAAAGCCCCCGGCUCAACCGGGGAGGGUCAUUGGAAACUGGGAAACUUGAGUGCAGAAGAGGAGAGUGGAAUUCCACGUGUAGCGGUGAAAUGCGUAGAGAUGUGGAGGAACACCAGUGGCGAAGGCGACUCUCUGGUCUGUAACUGACGCUGAGGAGCGAAAGCGUGGGGAGCGAACAGGAUUAGAUACCCGCGUAGUCCCUGUCUCUUAUAC
rnacentral:rRNA from 1 species